UGCUAUUUGUUUAAGAGAUGGUGAAGCUUCAAAGCUCUGCUCUUUUGGGUUACCUUUAAGUAUCUUUUGACUUUUUAUUUGAAAAUGCACAUGCAUGUGCAUUCAUGAAGGGGAGAGAAAUGAUGAAUGUUCCCAUCCGAGUUAGAACCAAAUACAGUGUAGACAGCUGCUGUGAGCUUUCCUAUUACAAUUUUGGCCUGACAUGAGUUGGAAAAU
rfam:Ailuropoda melanoleuca scaffold793_43, whole genome shotgun sequence.